GACGAACGCUGGCGGCGUGCUUAACACAUGCAAGUCGAACGGAAAGGCCCUGCUUUUGUGGGGUGCUCGAGUGGCGAACGGGUGAGUAACACGUGAGUAACCUGCCCUUGAUUUUGGGAUAACUUCAGGAAACUGGGGCUAAUACCGGAUAGGAGCUCCUGCUGCAUGGUGGGGGUUGGAAAGUUUCGGCGGUUGGGGAUGGACGCGCGGCUUAUCAGCUUGUUGGUGGGGUAAUGGCUUACCAAGGCUUUGACGGGUAGCCGGCCUGAGAGGGUGACCGGCGACAUUGGGACUGAGAUACGGCCCAGACUCCUACGGGAGGCAGCAGUGGGGAAUAUUGCACAAUGGGCGGAAGCCUGAUGCAGCAACGCCGCGUGCGGGAUGACGGCCUUCGGGUUGUAAACCGCUUUCGCCUGUGACGAAGCGUGAGUGACGGUAAUGGGUAAAGAAGCACCGGCUAACUACGUG
rnacentral:rRNA from 1 species